rnacentral:rRNA from 1 species
GUGGGGAAUCUUGCGCAAUGGGCGAAAGCCUGACGCAGCCAUGCCGCGUGAAUGAUGAAGGUCUUAGGAUUGUAAAAUUCUUUCACCGGGGACGAUAAUGACGGUACCCGGAGAAGAAGCCCCGGCUAACUCCGUGCCAGCAGCCGCGGUAAUACGAAGGGGGCUAGCGUUGCUCGGAAUGACUGGGCGUAAAGGGCGCGUAGGCGGAUCGUUAAGUCAGGGGUGAAAUCCCAGAGCUCAACUCUGGAACUGCCCUUGAUACUGGCGAUCUUGAGUGUGAGAGAGGUAUGUGGAACUCCGAGUGUAGAGGUGAAAUUCGUAGAUAUUCGGAAGAACACCAGUGGCGAAGGCGACAUACUGGCUCAUUACUGACGCUGAGGCGCGAAAGCGUGGGGAGCAAACAGGAUUAGAAACCCCUGUAGUCC